UGUUGUCUGUAAUUUUUUCGUCUCACCCAAAGUGAUCCUUAUUGUUCUUUUAAAAUUAUAACAUAAUUGUGUGUUUACUGUUCAAAUAUUGCUAAAAAACAUAUUAUUAUUAAAUGUUAAACUAUGUUUUUACGUCCAUGGAAACUGUCUCAUAAUGGCUUAAUAAUAUUGUAUUUUAGAGUUAAAGAAGUGAGAAACUAGCUAAGGAUCAAAAUUAAAAUGGAUGAUUAUUGCUGUGAGACUGUGAUCAAAAUAGAGGAAGAAGAUGAAAAUAGGAAAGAACAAAUUACCGGAGUCUUAGUGGAAAAAACAAAACCGAAGAACAUUGAAAAAUUAUAUUAUAAUUGUUCUACAACGACCAAAAACAAACCUCAACAAAAUAUUAAUGGAAAUCCAUAAAAACUUAAUGAAACAGGAGAUGUGCCAAGAAUUAGAAUUGAAAAAGGCGAGACCGAUGAUUAUUACUGCAAAUACAUAAUUGUAAAAGAAGAAAAAAAUUAGCAACAAAAAACGAUCGACAGCAAUUCAUACGAAUUUACUGACGAGAAAAUUAAAGUUGAAAUUAAAGAAGAAACUGAUGAUUAUAACAGUUUGAACAAUAUAGAUGAAGAAAAUGAAGAUACAAAAGAGAACAUUACCGAAGCCUUAAUGAUGAAACCAAGUCCGACUUGCUUUGAAAAAUCAUAUAAUAGUUGCGGACGGUCCAAAAGUGACAAUCAUACGACUGCUGUAGUGACUGAUGGUUACACCGGCAACGUCGGACGAUCUUACAAAUGUGAUGUGUGCUUAAAGAUAUUUUUUAAAAAAUGCCACUUUGAACGACACCAACGCGUGCACACAGAAGAAAAACCUCAAAAAUAUUUUGUGAUAACCUUUUUCAAUAACUUAAAACAUAUUGCAAAAAUUAAAAAAAAUGUCAAACAAAAAUUGUUUAUGACAUAAUUUUCUAUUAAAAAGCCCUCUAACAAUUUUAUUUAUCGUACAUAAUAUUACACAUGUAACGUGAGCUACAUGUUACAUAUUAUUUUAGCUUCGGUGCGG